CGUGAGGAACCUGCCUUGGAGAGGGGAAUAACACUCCGAAAGGAGUGCUAAUACCGCAUGAUGCAGUUGGGUCGCAUGGCUCUGACUGCCAAAGAUUUAUCGCUCUGAGAUGGCCUCGCGUCUGAUUAGCUAGUAGGCGGGGUAACGGCCCACCUAGGCGACGAUCAGUAGCCGGACUGAGAGGUUGACCGGCCACAUUAGGACUGAGACACGGCCCAGACUCCUACGGGAGGCAGCAUG
rnacentral:rRNA from 1 species